rnacentral:tRNA from 1 species
CUAUUUUGGCAGAAAAGUGCCAUGAAUUUAGAAUUCAUAUAUGUAAUAAAUGUUACAAUUAGUA